rnacentral:rRNA from 1 species
AUUGAACGCUGGCGGCAGGCCUAACACAUGCAAGUCGAACUAGUUGCGGACGGGUGAGUCAUGUCUGGGAAACUGCCUGAUGGAGGGGGAUAACUACUGGAAACGGUAGCUAAUACCGCAUACCAUCGGAUGUGCCCAGAUGGGAUUAGCUAGUAGGUGGGGUAACGGCUCACCUAGGCGACGAUCCCUAGCUGGUCUGAGAGGAUGACCAGCCACACGGGAACUGCGACAAGGCCCAGAAUCCUACGGGAGGCAGCAGUGGGGAAUAUUGAACAAUGGGGGCAAGCCUGAUGCAGCCAUGCCGCGUGUAUGAAGAAGGACUUCGGGUUGUAAAGUACUUUCAGCGGGGAGGCGUUACCCGCAGAAGAAGCACCGGCUAACUCCGUGCCAGCAGCCGCGGUAAUUC